GAACCAGCCAAUUAAUCUGCUUAUCUCGGCGUGUUUCUGCAGAAAUUUAGAAAACGCAGGCACUAGUGAUGCCGUGUUGCAAGCCUUAAGGACAGCUGAAGUCUUUAAUAUCCCUGAAAAUGCCCUGGAAG